GUCCCAUCCAAGGCUCUCACUUCUGCCCAGUUCUGGCUCCCCCUAACAAGUUCAGCUCUGAAAGCCUGACAUCAUCUGCUACAUGUCCAGGGUCCCUCUUUGAGUCAUGGGUAACCUGGGGCAUUGUAGAGUAGAGUACACCUGGUCUGUCAGGGGUGGCAUGGCCUGUGUCACCAGCCAGUACUGGGGAAGCCCUCUGUAGAUGGGGCCACCCUGCAGAUGCCUGCAGACCACAUGGAAUACAUGUGAUCGUAACAACUACAGCAAUAACAGCAAUUUUAAUAGUGAACGCAUAGCACUUACUUGGUGCCAUGUCUAAAUUAUUUACAUAUAUUAAGUCACUACUGCUAUGAGGCACACAUUUCAAUAGUGUGCACCUGGAAUAAUCUGAAGGCUCCUUCACGCACAAGCCUGGUGAUUGAUGCUGGCUGUUGCCUGAGGGCCUAGUAAUGGCUAUCAGCCGGAAUGCCCAGAUGUACCUCCCCAUGUCGCCUCAGCUUCCUUAAAAUAUGGUGGCUGGGUUCCAAGAGUGAGUGUCCCCAGGUAGAGACAGAGAGCCAGAAAGACCCUAGAUCAUUUAUGACUUAGCUUUGGAAGUCACAUAGAAUCACCUCUGCCACAGUCCUUUGGUCAGAGGAGUCACAAGCCCCCACUCGUAUUCAAGGAGAGGGGACACAGACACCCUCCUCUGGUGGGAGAAGUGGCAGCCACAUUGUGAGAAGAGUCCGCGGGAUGAGCUGUGACAUCUUUGGAAGAUGCAGUUGGCCACCACUUGUUAGUGAGGAAGCAGGGAUUUGAACCUGCACGGCCAGGCCCCAGAGUCCAUACUGUUAACCAGCCUGCUGCACUUGCUCCAGAGCAGGUGAGGCCAGCAGCUGAGAACACUGAGCCUGGGACUAGCGCCCUUGCAGGGCCCCUUCUCUUGUCCACCCAUCACUGUUUGAACCCCUUUCAUGGACAUCCAUCCCAGAGCCUCAGGCCCCACUCCAGCCCCUUCUAGAACCUCUCUUUUAUCUUCUUUCCCAAUAGGCCUUGGGAGCCAUUGAAACCAGCGCCCAAUCAUCAGCUACCAGAAGCACAGUUCUGCUUUCCUUCCUUCUGGCACUCAUGAGUUGAGAUGAUGUUUGCUGCACUUAUCAGGGACAGCUUCCUGGAGGAGUGCUCAGUUUCCCAGCGAAAAUGGGCUGAGUUUUUUUAAUGUAAUGAAGAAAGAGAACUUAAAAUUAUGGUUUCCAUCUCAAGGCAGCUUGAGUAGCCAUAUUCUACACUACCUUCCUCCCUAAGCUCUUCAGGGCUUAGUCCACCCCGUUGCCGCACGACCUGUCAAGCAGAGGAGACAUCACCUCAGAGGACAACCUAAUAAAAAAAAAUUCUUUCCAGGGAGGACUACAAGAAAAAGCAGGGUUUUCAGAGCCAGAAACUUCCAGGGCUGAAGGAUGGGGCAGAAGGAGGAGGGGAGGAACCCAUCUGGAUCUCUUUAGCCUCUGGAACCUGAAGCACUCAGGAAAGAAGGCCUGGCCCUUUGAAGCUGCCCCUGCCAGGCCCCACAAUGGGCCAGCCCUGCCAGCCCUCCUGCACAGGCCCUGAGGCAUCUUGGCAGCAGCAUCCCCGAGUCUGGCAGGACUCUCUCCUUUGGGAUCCAGUCACCAUGUUGUGAGGAAGCCCAGACCACAUGGAGAGGCCACAUAUAGAGGUUCUAGCCAAUGACUCCAGCUAAAGCCUCAGUCAACAGACAGCAUUCACGUGAAUGAACAGGUCUUCAGAUGAACCCAGCCCCAAGCCUUUGUCCCUUUCAGCUCAGUCCGCAGACACCAAGAAGCAUGGAGAAGCAUUUGCCCUAUCGAAUUCCCAAUCCACCGAAUCCACGAGUGAUUGUUUUAUGCCACUAGGUUUUGGAACAAUUUGUUCUGCAGCCAUGGCAACUAUAUUACCUCUCUAGGUUUCCUUGCACAAAAGAACACUGGACUGGAAAUAAAGUGAGUGGAAUAUUCCCAUCCCUUUCUCUUAAUAGCUGUUGACACUCAGUAGCUGUGUGAACUUGGGCAUGUCAUUUCUCAUCUCCAGGUUCUUUAUCCUCCCUCCUGAAAUACAAGGAUAGAGUUGGAUGAUUUCUAAGACCCUAGGAAGCUUGAAAAUUGUAUCAACAGAGACUCUUUAUGGAAUGACCCAAUUAAAACCAUGUCAAUUGAU
rnacentral:lncRNA from 10 species